rnacentral:rRNA from 1 species
GACAGAGGGUGCAAACGUUGUUCGGAAUUACUGGGCGUAAAGCGCGUGUAGGCGGCCCGGAAAGUCGGAUGUGAAAGCCCUGGGCUUAACCUAGGAAGUGCAUUCGAAACUGCUGGGCUUGAGUUCUGGAGAGGAAGGCGGAAUUCUCGGUGUAGAGGUGAAAUUCGUAGAUAUCGAGAGGAACACCGGUGGCGAAGGCGGCCUUCUGGACAGUGACUGACGAUGAGACGCGAAAGCGUGGGGAGCAAACAGG